UACAAUAGCUUUGUAAACAAGCAUUUUGGUUUCCCUGCAAAUGUCCUGGUCCUCAAACACUCUGCACUUCAAUCAGGAGAAAGCCGCACUCACAGAGCUUAGCAGAUGCUGGAUUUCUGCGUCAGUGUUGGCCCUUGUGAAAAGAUAACUGCCCAGGUAGGAGAAGUGAUCAACAUUUUCCAAUGUUACACAAUUGAGUUAUAUUUGUGGUGCUGCAGAGGGGUUAUUUUGUACUUGUUGGUGCAGCACUUUGGUUUUUUGGUUGUUGAGCGAUAGGCCAAGCUUUUCAUAAUUUUCUGCGAAGAUAUUUAGAAUGGUUUGGAGGUCAUCCUCUGGGCGUGCACACACUACGUUGUCAUCAGCAUACUGAAGCUCUAGGAUGGCAGCUACGGUAACCUUACUCUUUGCUUUCAGCCUGCUCAGAUGGAAUCUUUGGAGGAGUUGGAGAGUUGCACGCUGACCAAUGCACAGUCUUUGCAGUAAGGCUCUGUUCCCAUGGCAUGAGUAGUCAUGACAACCGGUAGAUUCUUAUCUGCUACAGCCUUCAUCCACCUUCACAGCCAUUGUAACCUACCACUUGUUAUCAUCUGCCUGUUCUGUCGUUGAGGACUUCUUGGAUCAUUCUUUGUCUAGCUCCUUCCCUUUGACCUUACCGCCUUGGGUGACCCUGCUGGGAGUACGAGAUUCCCGACGGCUUCUUUCACAAGGGUCAUAGGAACGUGCAAGCCCUCUCACCACGACAAGCCACCUGUGAAGAUCCAAUGAUGUCAGAGCAGAGGGUCCAUAAUUACACAUCAACAGGUGUUGUUACUGAAGAUAAUGCCAUUCAGCAUUCACUGCUAAGUGAUAUUUAAAGUACAAUAUUGUAUAUGGUCCAAAUUAUUCAGCUGAUCUAAUGUACAGCUCCCACGGUCAACAUACUAUCACAUAAAUUUGAAACCUCAUCAAUUAUUAAACUGUUGUAAUGUAAACGUUAUCUUUUCAACGGCCUGUACUUCCUUAAAGUUUCAGGAAGUAAGACAUAACAGUAUCUGAAUUUAGAAAUCACUAAUCAUCAAAUUGGGACGCGGGUGGCGCUGUGGGUUAAGCCACAGAGCCUAAGACUUGCCAAUCAGAAGG